UCUUUUGGGCUCUAGAUUCAAUAUUUGAAAGCAAGAUUUUUCUAGCUAGAUUAUUGAUUGCUGUCAGACAUGUACAGCUGGACCCAUUUUGUCCAUCAGGAAACUUGCUGUGAUAGCAUUAAGCAGACAAAGAACUUUAUCUGCUAUAAAUUUCCCCAGGAACCAAUGCCUUGGAGUGCAGGAAGAAAAUUAUGAUGAUUGAGAGUGAAUUGUUUUAUCUUCCUGUCUGGAAGAAACAUCUGUGAGCUUAUUUUACUAUAGAUUUUGGCUGCAGACCGAAAAAAAAAAAAAAACAGACAAAAACGUGGAUGACAAUAUGUUCUAAGAGGUCGCUAUAAUCAUAAUAAAUAGUAUUCAUCAUGAAACUUUUUAAGUCCAAUAUGGCAAAUGGUUGCAGCCCUGAUACAACUGUUCAUUUAAUUACAAGUCUCAAAAGGCAGGUUAGAAUCACCAACCAAGUCACCGAGCCAUGACAUGACACAGGCAACCUGUUGUCACCAAGUUCCAUUUCCUGUUCUGGUGCAGAAGCAUUUCACUGUGCAGUAAUUGGAUAUGUGUUCCGUCAGACACAGGGCAGACACUUAGACCUGAAUUUGAGACAGAGCACAGCACAUUUCACUCAGAGGAAGAGCUGUCAACAUGCAGCUCCCUGACCUGCUGCUGAGAGUUUUCAUAGCCUCUGCCUGCCUCGGAUCCAUCAAGGCCCAGAACGUGACUCAAGAUCAGCCAGAAAUGUCUGUGCUGGAGAAGGAGGCUGUAACUUUGGACUGUGCAUACGAGAGUAGUAGUUAUAGUUAUUAUUUAUUCUGGUACAAACCACCACCAAGUGGGGAAAUGAUUUUCCUACUUCAUCAGGAGUCUUACAAUGAGCUAAAUAAAACAGAAGGUCGAUAUUUUUUGAACUUCCGGAAGAAAGCCAGUUCCAUCAGCCUCACCAUCACAGCCUCACAACUCGAGGACUCAGCAGUAUAUUUCUGCGCUCUGAGAGACCACAGUGAUGCGGGUGCCUGUGGGAGCUCAAUAGAAACCUCAGAUCUCAACCUGACUCCCCAGCUAUGAACACCUGGUGGAGAAUCUCCGUGAGGACAGAAGGCAGGGGCUCUGUCAGCUGGGGAAGGAGGAUGAGAAGUGGAAAUUUCACUCUAAGGGAAAUGCCCUCUUUCUGGCUCAGAGAACUUAGCUAACAGUGUUAUUCAUCUGAAGCAUCUUUAGCUGCAGUUCUUUUCCUUGAAGUAGAUCAUGCAGCAAGAUAAUCUUUAAAAUGUUGUGGUGAUUACAUCUUAAUGUAAGAGACUUGGCUUUAAAAAAAAUUCAGUAAUACUUAGCCAAAUCUGCACCUGAAGUGUUAGACUUUUAAGUUCACCGCACAGAUAUUUUAUUCAUUUCUAAGUCUGACCACUGAAAUAUCUCUGAAAUGGCUCUUCUUGGAUCCUCAUGAAUGACUAGGAAUGAUGUACAGAGAAUCAGUGUCACCACAAGUCUUGACACUAAGGUAAAAUGAAGCUCUUUAGUUUGCUCAGAACUAACCGCACCACCUGAUCACAUUCUCUAUAUGUAAUGACAAAAUUAUGCAUGUUUAAGGUAGAAAAAAGUGACUAGCCAAAGAAGGAAUGCUAAAACAAAACAACUCAAAAAUUCUACCAGUCAGGAAAAACUCUCUUAUAGAAUCAUAUCUUAUAGGAUGUCUUAUAUUCUGUAUUUUUACCCAAUGGGACACGAAGUAACUAUUGUCACAACAUUAUUUACAGAUCAACAUCACACAUUCUAAUGGUAAUAUUCCAAUGUAUGAUUUUAUAAUACUUUUUGGGUGAAUUCCAUCUUACUAAAUUUUUAUUUAUUUU